rnacentral:rRNA from 1 species
CAGCAGCCGCGGUAAUACGUAGGGUGCAAGCGUUCAUCGGAAUUACUGGGCGUAAAGCGUGCGCAGGCGGUUCGGAAAGAAAGAUGUGAAAUCCCAGAGCUUAACUUUGGAACUGCAUUUUUAACUACCGGGCUAGAGUGUGUCAGAGGGAGGUGGAAUUCCGCGUGUAGCAGUGAAAUGCGUAGAUAUGCGGAGGAACACCGAUGGCGAAGGCAGCCUCCUGGGAUAACACUGACACUCAUGCACGAAAGCGUGGGGAGCAAACAGGAUUAGAUACCCUGGUAGUCCACGCCCUAAACGAUGUCAACUAGCUGUUGGGGCCUUCGGGCCUUGGUAGCGCAGCUAACGCGUGAAGUUGACCGCCUGGGGAGUACGGUCGCAAGAUUAAAACUUAAAGGAAUUGGCGGG